UACGUAGGGUGCAAGCGUUAUCCGGAAUUAUUGGGCGUAAAGAGCUCGUAGGCGGUUUGUCGCGUCUGCUGUGAAAACUGGAGGCUCAACCUCCAGCCUGCAGUGGGUACGGGCAGACUAGAGUGCGGUAGGGGAGAUUAGAAUUCCUGGUGUAGCGGUGGAAUGCGCAGAUAUCAGGAGGAACACCGAUGGCGAAGGCAGAUCUCUGGGCCGUAACUGACGCUGAGGAGCGAAAGCGUGGGGAGCGAACAGG
rnacentral:rRNA from 1 species